rnacentral:rRNA from 1 species
UGGGGAAUAUUGCACAAUGGGCGCAAGCCUGAUGCAGCCAUGCCGCGUGUAUGAAGAAGGCCUUCGGGUUGUAAAGUACUUUCAGCGAGGAGGAAGGCGUUGUGGUUAAUAACCGCAACGAUUGACGUUACUCGCAGAAGAAGCACCGGCUAACUCCGUGCCAGCAGCCGCGGUAAUACGGAGGGUGCAAGCGUUAAUCGGAAUUACUGGGCGUAAAGCGCACGCAGGCGGUCUGUCAAGUCGGAUGUGAAAUCCCCGGGCUCAACCUGGGAACUGCAUCCGAAACUGGCAGGAUAGAGUCUUGUAGAGGGGGGUAGAAUUCCAGGUGUAGCGGUGAAAUGCGUAGAGAUCUGGAGGAAUACCGGUGGCGAAGGCGGCCCCCUGGACAAAGACUGACGCUCAGGUGCGAAAGCGUGGGGAGCAAACA